rnacentral:tRNA from 1 species
GCUUGAAUAGCUCAGUCGGUAGAGCAAUCGGCUGUUAACCGAUCGGUCGUAGGUUCGAGUCCUACUUCAAGCG